rnacentral:rRNA from 1 species
GAUGAACGCUGGCGGCGUGCUUAACACAUGCAAGUCGAACGGAAAGGCUCCUGCUUGCCGGUGUAUUCGAGUGGCGAACGGGUGUGUCACAUGAGGGAGAUCUGCCCUGCACUUCGGUAUAAGCCUGGGACACCGGGUCUAACACCGGAUAGGACGAUGGCUCGGAUGCAACUGUGGAAAGUUUUUUCGGUGUGGGAUGAGCUCGCGGCCUAUCAGCUUGUUGGUGGGGUAAUGGCCUACCAAGGCGUCGACGGGUAGCCGGCCUGAGAGGGUGUACGGCCACAUUGGGAAUGAGAUACGGCCCAGACUCCUACGGGAGGCAGCAGUGGGGAAUAUUGCACAAUGGGCGCAAGCCUGAUGCAGCGACGCCGCGUGGGGGAUGACGGCCUUCGGGUUGUAAACUCCUUUCGCUAGGGACGAAGCGCAAGUGACGGUACCUGGAGAAGAAGCACCGGCUAACUACGUG